CCCUUAGAUGUUCUGGGCCGCACGCGCGCUACACUGAUGCAUUCAACGAGUCUAAAACCUGCUCUGAUAGGGGUGGGUAAUCUUUUGAAUGUGCAUUGUGAUUGGGAUAGAUGAUUGCAAUUUUUCAUCUUCAACGAGGAAUGCCUAGUAAACGCAAGUCAUCAGCUUGCAUUGAUUACGUCCCUGCCCUUUGUACACACCGCCCGUCGCUCCUACCGAUUGAAUGAUCCGAUGAAUAUCAUGGAUUGAGGAUGCAAGUAGGUUCGCCUAUCUUCAUCUUCGAGAAGUGAAGUAAAUCUUAUCAUUUAGAGGAAGGAGAAGUCGUAACA
rnacentral:rRNA from 1 species